rnacentral:rRNA from 1 species
CAUAGGUUGAGGAGGCGGUGACCGUGGCGGUGGAGGAGGAGGAUGAGGUAGCCAACACUGUUUUUAUAUAUAUAUAUAUAUAUAUAUAUAUUAAUUGGGGUAACCUAUAACCAUAUAAAAAAGACAACUCUGUUCCGCAGAGAAGCUGUUGACAUUUAGUUGCGCAGGAACUUUGUUGACUCUAGAGAACCUCGGGCAAAUCGCACAUCCCCGUGGCGGCGACUUUGCAUGCGGAUGUCAUCCAUAUCGAUUUUCGAUGCCAGUUUCUGUGCCCACCAUGGUGACCACGGGUAAUGGGGAAUCAGGGUUCCAUUCCGUACAGGGACCCUGAGAAACGGCUACCACAUGCAAGGAAGGCAGCAGGCGCGCAAAUGACCCACUCCCGACGCGGGAAGGUAGUGAUGACAAAUAACAAUACAGGACUCUUUAGAGGCCCUGUAAUUGAAAUGAGUCCACUUGAAAUCCUUUAACUCUGAUCAGUGGCGUACACAUG